rnacentral:misc_RNA from 1 species
UGAAGAUAUAUUAUCCACAUUGUUUUGUCCUAUUUUUUGUUUGUUUGUUACAUAUAUUGUGGAUUAUGUUACAAUCUACUUGUUUGUUUUAAUUGUUUUCUAGUGUAACAUGUUCAUAAGUACACUGUAUAUGGCUAAUGAUAAUAGAGAAAUUGAUUUUUUUUUAUGUAUACAUCAGAUUUUAUCUCUCAGUUCAUUUUCCAUUGAUUGUUAAUAUUUUAUUCACUCAUUGUAGUUUAUCUUGAAAUUUUCAAAUUGUGGUGGAUUUUUUUUCUUGAUUCUGAUUUACUUAAGUGAGAAGUCAAUGAAAUCUUUUUAGAAUAAUUUUUUCAUGUUAAAUUACUUAUUAGCAAGUAGAUUUUGAUCUCCGUAAUUUUUUUUUCUCAAAAUGUCUACCUUGUUGUAUUGUGAUACUCUGUCAAUUUGUUCUUCCCACAUUCCAUACCUUAAAACCUAGCUACAUCUUUUCGUUUUUAAUCUGAAUUUUUUGGCAUUAUGGAUUUUUUGUAUUAUUCUAAAAAUGUUGAUAAUGAAAUUCUCUAGGGCUUUAUAACAUGUCCAGGGAAUGCAGUUUGUAAUUUUUUUCCCAUAAUUUAUAAACAAAAAAUCAUUUUUUUUCUGGACAAGUGUCGUGUGUAUUGUUGCUGUGCAUGCAUAUUUGUCUUGAAUUCCUUCCGUUAUAAAGAAAUCAGUCCCACUCAUCGUAAUGGGAUUCUCAACAGUUCAUAUCUACGAUGUCCAGUCUUCAUCGAAAUCACAGGGUGGUUGAACCAUAAGGCUUUGGUUUAUGGAAUUAUAAAUAAAAAUGAAUAAUUUAAUC